rnacentral:rRNA from 1 species
UACAGAGGGGGCAAGCGUUGUUCGGAAUUACUGGGCGUAAAGGGCGCGUAGGCGGCCCGCUAAGUCGAACGUGAAAUCCCCAGGCUCAACCUGGGAACUGCGUCCGAUACUGGCAGGCUUGAAUCCGGGAGAGGGAUGUGGAAUUCCAGGUGUAGCGGUGAAAUGCGUAGAUAUCUGGAGGAACACCGGUGGCGAAGGCGGCAUCCUGGACCGGUAUUGACGCUGAUGCGCGAAAGCCAGGGGAGCAAACGGG